UACGGAGGAUGCAAGCGUUAUCCGGAAUGAUUGGGCGUAAAGCGUCCGCAGGUGGCAAUGUAAGUCUGCUGUUAAAGAGUGAGGCUCAACCUCAUAAGGGCAGUGGAAACUACAUAGCUAGAGUGCGUUCGGGGCAAAGGGAAUUCCUGGUGUAGCGGUGAAAUGCGUAGAGAUCAGGAAGAACACCGGUGGCGAAAGCGCUUUGCUAGGCCGCAACUGACACUGAGGGACGAAAGCUAGGGGAGCGAAUGGG
rnacentral:rRNA from 1 species